rnacentral:misc_RNA from 1 species
CAGAGCUCGCGCCCCUGGGCGGAUCUCCCACCCACUGUCGUCGCUACGAUCGUUGCUUUGGCGGGCCGCCGAGCCCCCUCGCCGCCGGCCCCGCUGGCGCGCGCCCGCCAGAGGCCCCGAAGACCCUAGAUGUCAGCGUCGUCUGAGUGCCACACAAUCGUUA